AUGGGUUUUGAACUGAUUGGAAUUAUCAUUCUGUCUAUUUUACAAGGUAUCCGUUGUGAUGUUCAGCUGGUGGAGUCUGGGGGUGAUGUGAGAAAGCCUGGAGGAUCUCUUCGACUUUCCUGCCAAGCUUCUGGAUUCACCUUCAGCAGCUACUGGGUCCGCCAGGCUCCAGGGAAGGGACUGGAAUGGGUUGCAAGAAUUAAUACAGGUGGAAGUAGUAUAUACUAUGCAGACUCUGUGAAAGGUCGAUUCACCAUCUCCAGAGAUGAUGGCAACAGCAUGUUAAAUCUACAGAUGACUUCCCUUAAAACUGAGGAUACAGCUGUGUAUUACUAUACAAGUUCUGCAACCACCCUGAGGUGGGUGGUUAGAAGCUCACACCUGGACUCUCAUGGUAGCCCUAUUGGUUGUUCUCCCAGCCUCAGUACUCUCUUCACUGCAGUCCAUACUAAACUUGUGUAA